CAAACUAAAGAUGGCGACCGGCGCACGGGUGAGUAACACGUAUCCAACCUGCCGAUAACUCGGGGAUAGCCUUUCGAAAGAAAGAUUAAUAUCCGAUAGUAUAUUUUCUCCGCAUGGCGAGAAUAUUAAAGAAUUUCGGUUAUCGAUGGGGAUGCGUUCCAUUAGUUUGUUGGGGGGUAACGGCCCACCAAGACUACGAUGGAUAGGGGUUCUGAGAGGAAGGUCCCCCACAUUGGAACUGAGACACGGUCCAA
rnacentral:rRNA from 1 species